UACAGGGGGGGCAAGCGUUGUUCGGAAUUACUGGGCGUAAAGGGUCUGUAGGUGGCUUGCUAAGUCAGACGUGAAAUCCCUCAGCUUAACUGGGGAACUGCGUCUGAUACUGGCAAGCUUGAGUGCAGGAGAGGAACGCGGAAUUCCAGGUGUAGCGGUGAAAUGCGUAGAUAUCUGGAGGAACACCGGUGGCGAAGGCGGCGUUCUGGACUGCAACUGACACUGAGGAGCGAAAGCGUGGGGAGCGAACAGG
rnacentral:rRNA from 1 species